rnacentral:rRNA from 1 species
AUUGAACGCUGGCGGCAUGCCUUACACAUGCAAGUCGAACGGUAACAGGUCUUCGGAUGCUGACGAGUGGCGAACGGGUGAGUAAUACAUCGGAACGUGCCUAGUAGUGGGGGAUAACUACUCGAAAGAGUGGCUAAUACCGCAUGAGAUCUACGGAUGAAAGCAGGGGAUCGCAAGACCUUGUGCUACUAGAGCGGCCGAUGGCAGAUUAGGUAGUUGGUGGGAUAAAAGCUUACCAAGCCGACGAUCUGUAGCUGGUCUGAGAGGACGAUCAGCCACACUGGGACGGGGACACGGCCCAGACUCCUACGGGAGGCAGCAGUGGGGAAUGUUGGACAAUGGGCGCAAGCCUGAUCCAGCAAUGCCGCGGGCAGGACGAAGGCCUUCGGGUUGUAAACUGCUUUUGUACGGAACGAAAAGCCCUGGGUUAAUACCCUGGGGUCAUGACGGUACCGUAAGAAUAAGCACCGGCUAACUACGUGCCAGCCGCCGCCGCCGUAA